AAAGCAAUGUAGUAGAGGCAUUCCAAACGCCUUUCCGGUGAAUCUUUGUAAAUGCUGCAGAACAAAGAUAAUCCCUGUUGUACAUGCUGUGUAGAAUCUGAGCGUACCAAUGCCCAAGCAAGGUUAAAUUUGGUUUGUAAAGUAAUCAGAGGUUGUUCUGCAUCGUAUUGUUCCUUGAUUUGUAGAAACUCAUCAACAGAAAUAAUUGAAUCAAUAGCAGAAGGAUCAGCGAGGCGAAGGGUGUGUUUUUCAGUCAUGAUGUCGUUAUUGCUUCC